UAGAAAGGAAAAAAUGGUGAGAAAACACAGAGAGGUGCGAUAGAUAAUCUGAGAGAGAGAGAGAGAGAGAGAUGGAACAGACGGUCUGGGAAAGGAAAGAGGGAGAGAGAGUGUGGAGAGGCUUCGGAGAGGCUUCUAUUAGUGUAACAUAGUAACUCAUGGUGCAAUACACUAGAUAUGCACAGCGAGAGAUAAGGCUAACCAAAAAGGAAGGGUGGUCUUCUCUUUUCAUCCCAUCCCUGCAGACCCUCCCGCGAGCAGCUUAUCCACUCGAGACGACCCCGGUCCUGCCUCGCGCCCGACGCAGCUCCGCCCAAAACAGAUCGUGGCCUCCCUCUCGGGUUACGUGUAGAGCCAUCGCAAGCCCGCAACUCCAGUAGUGUGUUCCAGCGAGACCAUCUUGUUGCCAUUCCAUGGCCUGAGUCAGCCCAAUAACUCAGCAAUCCCAGUGAUAUCCAACAACGGUCAGCGAAUCUAGUGAAGAUGAAAGCAACCCAGGCGAGCUCCUGCAUGUCCGACGCCAAUUCUAGCAAGUACAGCGAGACACCGGCGUGGCCAACGUACCCAAGUGCCUGAGUGCCAUCCAGUUAUUUCACUGCGAUAAAAUUGGGUUGCUUCUCUUCCUUUUAAAGUUGUUCGCUCCAUAUUUUUGGUAUUUACUUUGUUUUGUUCUGAUGUGGUGAUCGCAAUCAAUUUGAUGCCGAGCACAAGGACACACAAAGGAAAAGAUACAAGCGGAUUGGGUAAAUCGAUCUGAACCGGUUUGGGCUCAAACGACGUCAAAGAUAUCAGGCACGUCACCCGAUCAUCUCCCUCUCCCUCUCACUCUCGCUCGGAGAGUUCUUCACAGAGAAGCAGCUCAUAAAUUCAAAAAGGCAGAGGUCUGUUCAUCUUCCACGGCAGCGGAAACCAGUCAUGCAAAAAAAAAAAACCAACAUGACAACCAAAAA
rnacentral:lncRNA from 1 species